UACGGGGGGGGCAAGCGUUGUUCGGAAUUACUGGGCGUAAAGGGCUCGUAGGCGGCCAACUAAGUCAGACGUGAAAUCCCUCGGCUUAACCGGGGAACUGCGUCUGAUACUGGAUGGCUUGAGGUUGGGAGAGGGAUGCGGAAUUCCAGGUGUAGCGGUGAAAUGCGUAGAUAUGACAUAGAACACCGAUAGCGAAGGCAGCUUACUACAGGAUGAUUGACGCUGAGGCACGAAAGCGUGGGGAGCAAACAGG
rnacentral:rRNA from 1 species